GACGAACGCUGGCGGCGUGCUUAACACAUGCAAGUCGAACGGUAAGGCCCUUCGGGGUACACGAGUGGCGAACGGGUGAGUAACACGUGGGUGAUCUGCCCUGCACUUCGGGAUAAGCCUGGGAAACUGGGUCUAAUACCGGAUAGGACCACUGCCUGCAGGGGUGGUGGUGGAAAGCUUUUGCGGUGUGGGAUGAGCCCGCGGCCUAUCAGCUUGUUGGUGGGGUGAUGGCCUACCAAGGCGACGACGGGUAGCCGGCCUGAGAGGGUGACCGGCCACACUGGGACUGAGAUACGGCCCAGACUCCUACGGGAGGCAGCAGUGGGGAACAUUGCACAAUGGGCGCAAGCCUGAUGCAGCGACGCCGCGUGAGGGAUGACGGCCUUCGGGUUGUAAACCUCUUUCAGCUAUGACGAAGCGCAAGUGACGGUAGUAGCAGAAGAAGGACCGGCCAACUACGUGCCAGCCGCCGCGGUAA
rnacentral:rRNA from 1 species